rnacentral:lncRNA from 1 species
GUGUCGCGCCCCGAUGUUUCCGCCAUCGGUUGGGGUGUGACAUCUGGUGCCUUAUAUCACUGUCUUAAAACACGUGAAUCUCAAAACCCUAAAUUUCACAUUUCACCGCCUCCCUUUCAGAUAUGAGACCUCUCUCUCUCAAAUCGCAACAAUAAACACCGCUGAAACCACCAGUUGCCACCAUCUUCCAUCAAACUUGCUGCUAGGGUUCAACGAUUUGGUUGCUAAGUGACUGGAUUUCAACUCUAUUAAGGCUUAGGGUUCAAUUUGGGCUUCGCAUCAUUUAAGGGUGUAUGCCAUUCGAUCUUUACAGAAUGUGAAGUGGUUUUGUCACACGGAACAUUUGAUUUGGUGUCAAGCAGUU